CGUGUUUGUACAGUUACUGUUUGUUUACAUUCAACUCAAUUGACAUCGGGCCAUAUUAGGAGCAACUCACUGAUAGUAAAAACUUUGCGUUUUAGCAGAUAAGAAUUUUUUGGUCACAGCUAUUUCUUGUGUUCCUAUUGGCUAUGUUCAUAUAAAUAAUUUGCAAUUCCGUUUAUUAUGGCAGUAUCACUUUUCCUAAAGUAUAGUCACCUUUCUGUGAAAAAUGAAAUUAUUUCUCCUAAUGUUAUCCCUCGCCGAUUUAAGCCAGAAUUUAAAAAUGAGGAAGGCGUGUGCUACUAUAAGUCGAUCGACUUAUUAGAGAAAUUCGUUGAGCUUACGGACAAAUAUGAAAAGGAAGAUGCUACUCCCGAGGCCAAAAAACUGGAUGAAUUGUUCAAAAGCUAUGACAGCAAGAAAUUGGAAAAGGAAAUUGAAAAAUUUUAUGAGAGAGUGGGAGCAAUGGAAAUGGACAAAUCAGAUGAACACGAAAUGGAUAGAAGUCGAAUAUUCAGUAAAAUGUCGGAGAUCUGCUAAUAUGUUAAACAAAUAAAAUGAAGCUUAUGGAUACAUAUAAACAAA